rnacentral:lncRNA from 1 species
CAAGCACUCUACCACUGAGCUACACCCCCAGCCCACAGGACAUAGUCUUAAAUGACCUGAUUCAUCUGAGUAGACAGGAAACAGCAUAAAACUACAAAUUUAUUUUGCACAAAGGUGAAAUCUCCAAUAUUUUUUGGGAGUGAAAAUGAUGUCAUCACUUAAUUACUCAGGGGCACCUGAAGACAUUUUCAGAGAAAAAAAUAAAGUUUACAAUACAUUUUAGAAAAACACAGAAGAGCCAGUGUGGUGGUGCAUACCUGUAAUUCCAGCAAUUUGGGAGACUGGGGUAGAAGGAUCACAAGUUCAAAGCCAGCCAAGGCAAUUCAGGGAGACUGUCUCGAAAUAAAAAACAAAAUAAAAAGGGCUGGGAUAUAGCUCAGAGGUAAAGUGCUUCCAGGUUCAAUUCUUAGUACCAAAAUAAAAUAAGAAAGAAAGAAAAACACAGAAGAAAACACAAAUAAUAAAUCUCUCAGGAUGACAAUACGGAAAGAAAUAGCAAAAGGUGGUUAAUAUGAUUAAACUGAAAGUCAUAAAGUACAAACAAAAAAUUAUUAUUUAACACAAGGAAAGUUCUCCUAGGAAUUAUUCACAGGCAAGUAAUAAAACAAAUAAAUUUCCACAAAAAGGGAACCCUGGUUUCAUUUGCUUUAUGAUGCAGCUACAAACUUACUAAGAAAGAUAGAUAUUAAAAAUAAAUUGCUUUUGAGAAAUUGAGGAUUAUUUGAAGAAAAGUUUGUUGUGUUUUUUUUUCUUCUUAAAUAAACAAAAU